ACGUAGGGGGCGAGCGUUAUCCGGAAUUAUUGGGCGUAAAGAGUGCGUAGGUGGCUUUUUAAGUGUGAGGUGAAAGGCAAUAGCUUAACCAUUGUAAGCCUUGCGAACUGGAAGACUUGAGUGGGGGAGAGGAAAGUGGAAUUCCUAGUGUAGAGGUGAAAUGCGUAGAUAUUAGGAGGAACACCGGUGGCGAAGGCGACUUCCUGGACUGUAACUGACACUGAGGCGCGAGAGCGUGGGGAGCAAACAG
rnacentral:rRNA from 1 species